AUUGCUCAGAUCAUAACACUGCCUCCCCCUGCCUGCCUUCUCCCCAUAUUGCAUCCUGCUGCCAUCUCUUCCCCAGGUAAAUGAUGCAGAUGCACCCAGCCAUCUAAUUGAUAUAAAAGAAAAUGUGAUUCUUCAGAGCAGGCAACCUUCUUCCACUACUCCAAGUUAUGACGAUGGCGUUCCCACCGAAGGCACUUUCGGCAGUGGAUCAUCAUGGGCACUCUGCUGCGUAUGGAAAUGUAUAGGC